rnacentral:rRNA from 1 species
GUGGGGAAUAUUGGACAAUGGGGGGAACCCUGAUCCAGCGACGCCGCGUGAGUGAAGAAGUAUCUCGGUAUGUAAAGCUCUAUCAGCAGGGAAGAAAGAAAUGACGGUACCUGACUAAGAAGCCCCGGCUAACUACGUGCCAGCAGCCGCGGUAAUACGUAGGGGGCAAGCGUUAUCCGGAUUUACUGGGUGUAAAGGGAGCGUAGACGGCUGAGCAAGUCUGAAGUGAAAGGCGGGGGCCCAACCCCCGGACUGCUUUGGAAACUGUAUAGCUAGAGUGCAGGAGAGGUAAGUGGAAUUCCUAGUGUAGCGGUGAAAUGCGUAGAUAUUAGGAGGAACACCAGUGGCGAAGGCGGCUUACUGGACUGUAACUGACGUUGAGGCUCGAAAGCGUGGGGAGCAAACAGG